CCACGCAGCCGGGGAGUUAGCGGUGCCCUGUACCUGCAAUCCGCUACAGCAGGGGUGAUAUCCGAUUUCGGAUAUUGGUUGUGAAGCAGCCUUUGAUAAGUGAUGUUGACGUUUGGGUCUCGCGCAAUAAGAAUCUUCGAACCGUGUCAGGUCAGGAAUGAAGCAGCACUAAGGAGAAUCUCUUAUGUGCCGUGAGGCUACCUGAGCCGAGUUAACUGUCAGAGUAACGUUCAUAACCUAUAUACAACAUCGGAUGCGUGG
rnacentral:SRP_RNA from 1 species